rnacentral:lncRNA from 1 species
GCAAGGAGGAGUAAGCUAUUGACAGAGAUUCCCCAGAGCAGAAGCCAUGUGAAGGGGAAGUUCAUGAACUUGGAAACUCUUGCACCACCUGCUGGUAAUUUAGGAAAGCAAUUAAAUGCCAGACGUGGACUGACACACUCACUGUGGCAUUUGGGAGCAACCACACUCUUUGGGUAUCAUAUUAUCAUCAGAGUCUGGAGAGCUGACAGAGGCAGCGUCUGUGCUUAAACUUAUGGAAAACUUAGUUUUGGCAUCUCACACCCCUGGAAAACUGGCCGAUUUUAAAAAGAACUCUUUCUCCUCUUCCCCCUCAAUCCACUCCAGCCAUACCUCAGCCUUGGGAAAGCUUCAGCUCUUUGGACUCCUCUCUUUUCACUCUACUCCCAACAUCGCCUCUUUGGCAGGUUCCUAAGUGGGUUGUUUCUAUCCAGCUCUUGGAGCUAAUUCCCAAAGAAUAAUGUCUACUUUGUUAUUGGGUGAAAGUGCCUGAGACUUUCACUAGAUGCAAAGAGACUCAGAGGCCAGGAUGAUUUCUACGGCCUACAAAUCAUGGAAGGAGAAGCAGUGAGGGGAGGAAGGGAGAGAGCAAGCUAGAACAAGGGCUUUUCCUCUUGCAUCCAGGAUGCCCUGAUCUGCAUCCCUCGGCUGUCUCCAUGAGCACCCAGCAGUCACUGCACCAAUAAGGAGGCUUCUCGAAGCUACUUACCACGUGACAUGUAGUCAAUAUGACUGAUCAUUAUUCAGUAACUCUGAGAUUUAAAGAAUCCAGGUGAUUUAUACAGUCAUGGUUCUCAACCCUUACACUGAAUCACCUGGGGAGUUCAUUACAUUGGUAGAUUCCUGGGUCCUGUCCCAGAGAUUCAGAUUUAAAAGGUCCAGGUAGGGUUGUGGAAUCUGAAAUUCUAACAAGGCCUCCCAGUGGUUCUGAUACUCAGACCACCCUUUAUGAAACACUAAGAGCAGCCAGUAGAGUAAAAGACCUCUCAUUGUUUCCAUUUCCAAAAACGGUUUCUCCAGUUACAUCCUCUGACCUUUCAUCCCAUCCUCUUUAUUGUAGCCGUUUUCUAAAAAAGGAGGAUUACUGUUUGAAAAUUAGAAAAUAAAAUUAAAAUUAAAUGAUCUAAACUCAUGCCCAGAGAGGUAACUCAUGUUAAACUGUUUACUUUUUGGUGUGUAUUCUUCCAGAAUUUGUGCGCGCGCGCACACACACACACACACACACACACACACACAUACUUUAUAGGUGUUGUGUUCACUUAUGAAUAUAUUAGAAAUGUCUUUGCAUGUUGACAAACCCAUAAUACCUUCAACAUCAUUUUAAUGGCUUUUCCAUUAAACAGAUGUAUGGUUACUUACCCAGCGCCCUAGUGUUGAAUAUUUAGAUUUUCCCCAAUAGUUUUAUCCGUAUAAACAAACCUGUGAUCAACAUUUCUGUGCAGAUGCCUGCUUGUUCAAUCUUUUCCUUAGGACGAAUUUCUCAUGGUGGAAUUGUCAAGUCAAAGGUAAUACAUUUUAAGGCUUUUGAUAAAUUUACUAUAUGCAAAGUAUUGAAGAUAUUGCUAAAUGUCCCCCAAGAAAUGUUUCUUGAUUUACCCUCUCAGCAGCAGUUUAUAAAAGGGAGGAAAUACACCCUUGCCAAUCUGGAUAUUAUAAUAUUAGAAAAAAAAAGAACUAUUACCCAUAUGUUCUGAUAUAAAAAAAUAUUUUCAUGGUUUUAAUGUGCAAUUAUUUGCUUCAUAGAAUGAAACUUUUUUAACUAUAUAUUUGCCAGUUAAGGUUCUUAUUUUACGAACUGUUUACUCACAUUCUUUGCCCACUAUAUUCUUUUUUUUAAUGUUUAUUUAUUUUUGAGAGAGAGAGCACAAGAGGGGGAGGGGCAGAGAGAGAGGAAGACACAGAAUCUGAAGUAGGCUCCAGGCUACGAGCUGUCAGCACAGAGCCUGACAUGGGGCUCGAACUCACGAACUAUGAGAUCAUGACCUGAGCUGAAGUCAGAUGCUUAACCAACUGAGCCACCUAGGUGCCUCAAUUUUCCCACUAUAUUCUUGUAACACUUGCCUUUUUCUUACCAGCUAGAAAGAACUGUUCACAUACUUAAGUAUAUUAACUUUGCUGGCUACAUAUGUGCAAAUAUGUUUUCAUGUAUUUCUCGAAACAUCUCACUCCUGUCUUUAACUGGUUUGCUUAGUUACACUGGUAUUAUUGAUUUUUAUCAGGUAAAAUAUAUAAAUUUUGUUUUUAGAACUUCUGUCUUUAGUUUCAUGUGAAAAGACCUCUCCCUCUUCAAAAUUAUAUAAACAUUCACUUACAUGUUCUUUCAGUAUUUUUAUAGCUUAUUUUUACAUUUAGAUCUUUGAUCCAUCUAAAAAUUUUGAUAUGGAAGAUUAACUUUCUUUUCUGUAGUGUCAGUCAAUUGUCCCAAUAGCCAGCGGUUCCCCUAUUUUUUGUGAGAGAAAUGUUCUGAACAGUUGUCUAGGCUAUAUUCACGUGCAUGGUUUGGGAGAAACAACAUCUGUCUUCCGGGGGUGCCUCCCUGUACUAGCCCCACGGUAAAACUUCCCCUUGCAGUUGAUUUUGAGACUCGCUACAUUCUAUGACUUCCAGAGGAAGCCACCCCCCGCCCCCCGCCUCUCCUUCCCACUGUCUGCAGGCUGGUAGGUUUCCAAAGGCUAUAAACUGGCAAGUGAAGGAGAAGAUCAUGUAAGAAACAGUACGUUUUGAUACCGAGAUUUCAUUUGUGCACUCCAGUUCCCUUCCACUGGCACCCGGCAUUUCCCAGCUGCAACAUGAGACAGUGAAAUGAGCAUGAUGUGAGCGCCGAUGUUUAUUUUGACCCUAUGCGUCUCUCUGAGUCAUCUGUAAAAUGGGUAGCUGUGCGUAUUAGUAUGCUUGGGCUGCCAGCACCACACACGACAGACUGGAUGUCUUCGUAGAAAUGCAUCUUCACACGGUUCUGGAAGCUGGAAGUUCGUGAUCGCGCUCCAAGGAGAGUUACUUUCUGGUGAGGCCUGACUUUCUGGCCGGUGGAUAGCUGGCUAUGUCCUUGCGUAUUCUUUCCUUUGUGCACGUGCAUGGAGAGCAAUUGCUGGUGUCUCCUUCUCUUCUUAUGAGGACACCAGUCGUAUCAGAUUAAAGGCUCACACUUAUGCCCUCUUUUGACCUUAUUUACCUCCUUAAAGGCCCUAUCUCCAAAUAUAGUCACAUUAGGAUUAAGGCUUCAGCCUAUGUAUUUUAGGGGGACAAAAUUCAGUCCACACCACUAUGGAUUUCUAGAUCUCAUACAGAUGUAAACAUUUUGAAAAUAUUUUCAAAUAAGUGUCAGAGGCUUCGUGGAGAAGGAGCCUAAGAAUGCAAACUGCAUUUCUACUGAAGUCAGCCAGUCUGUUUUUAGUAUGUCAAAUAUGCCCAGGGCUGUGCUGGAAGUCUCUGGGUGUUCAAAAGAAAAAUACAGCACAGUCCCUACCCUUCAAUGGCAUAGUCUCUCAUUGUGGGGAGCUGAUACCAACCUUUGAAAUAAUGAGAGAACAAUACAAAACCCAGUACAAUUAAGGGCAAGAUGGGGCUUCAGAUAAUACACCUAUGUCCUAGGCAAUCAGAUAAGAGGUGCAUCUUAAGAGUUCAAAUACUGAAGGUGUGGUGAGCCUUUGGUUUGCCCUCUGGGACUUCCCAUAUUCAGAGGCAAAGUAGAAAGCUGCCUCACUUUUCCCCUGAGAAAGCCCCUUGUUAGAGUGUUGGUUUGUGCUGAAGGGAGGCAGGUAUCCCUUGUUCUGAGCUGGUGAAUUAAACUUUAGUUUAUGCAUGGGUAGUGAAGCCCAAUGGAGAGUCGCCCAGGCACAGUGAGGCACAUUACCUUCAAAGAGACCUCCUAGAUAGACUACAGGAGUCAUUGGAAGUUGGGACCAAAGGAAGAGAGAAAACAGCGUCAGCAUUUUCUUCUCUGAACGUCGGCGCUAUUUUAGAGAAGGGAGGCCCAAGCGGGCCGGAGGACCGGCUCCGGUUGCCUGAGCCUGUCAUUCUCAGCAGGGAUCUCACUGCUGCCAGAGAAGGAAGGAGGUGAGUUUAUGGGGACAAGUGUCAGCCUCUUCAGAAGACCUGCAGUGGUGUCAGUGUUCUGAAAGCAGAUAAUCCCAAGCACCACACUGGUGAGAGGCCAGGCAGACGUGGCAAGAGCAGGAGGAGGGCAGGGCAGGGUGGGGCUGCGGGCACACCACACCAGGGCUCACGGUAAACCUUGCCCUUUCCCCCGUGACAACCCCUCCUCUCCUCUCAUCCCCUUCCCCUUCCUUUGGAAAGCAGGUUGCUAAAUACCAGGUCGUAAGCCCCACAAGUGGAGCUACCUGAAGUGGUUUAACCCACUGCAAGUGUUGUACCAAUCAUUCAACAAUUCCCACGGCUGCUUUUGUGAGAAGCCUCUCUCUUAAGCCUCUGGUUUAAGAAUUUAGAGUAAUCAUGUAAAAAUGAUACCCCUGUGCUCCAUGAUCCGCUGAAUCUCGCUAAUGCCGGAUCCCAGAAGAGGGCUUAUUAAUGGUGAGACGCAGGGCCUCUCUCUCAGCUCAUGUUUCACACGGAGCUCUCUUAUGGAUUCAGCUGUAAACCUCGCUGCUGAUAAAGGGAGUAUAAUGAACCUCCCUGCUCCAUGAGAGUGAAAUCGAGGGCCGAUGGACUAGUUACCUGCUGUACCUCCUGGCGCUACGGCCUGCGUGAGAGGCGUGCUUCGUGGCUCCGGGAAAUAAAGGUGCAAGGCCAUCUCCUUGUACACCUCAGGCUUUUCUCUGCCAUGGUGAAAGAGGCUGCCUUCAAAGAUCCAUAUUUGGAAGUGGAGAGAUGUUCUAAUUUCUUAAAUACUUCCAUAGUAAUUGCCUUGUCAGUCGCCGGUGCUAACAAACUGAAGCGCUUCUCAUUUUGGUGCAAUUUCAAUGAAAGUAAAGCAGGCCUUGGAAUCUCUGGAUCCCGUGAACUAGAUCAUUCUAUGAUAUUUUGCGGCUCAGGACUUCUCCCACUUUGUUCUGACAGUGACCACUAGGCCAGUGCUUUCUCUAAUAGAAAUCUGUGAGGGGCACUGGACAUAACACAGUUGUGUCUGCCCCACCCCCACCCCCACCCCACCUUCUGCCAUUCAGGGUCGUUCCCCACCUAGGCAGGCCCUGUCUUAGAUGGGAAACCCUUUCUAGAACCCAGCUCAAAGGCUGGUUGGCAUGCAUUACCACGAAGCCCAUUUUUGAAUGUAGAAUUUCACACUUAAAACAGCUUGACUCCAAAUCAAGCUUUAUCCUUUUCUAAACACGCACACCCAAUAUCUUACUUGCCACUUAAACAGCGAGGCAAGAGGCUAAGAGAAUCUUGUGCUAGAGAUGACAAAACUGAGGCACACAGAUGUUAGGUCACUUGCUAAAGCCACACAGAACUUCAGUUGUGGAACUUGGAUGAAAUAGAUAGGCCAGGCUUCCAGCAAAGGCGGCUAAACAUGCCAUUUCUCUCCAACUAUAGGAUUACCUUAUCAGAAUAUGUCUUGGAAACUGAAAACAACAGCAACAGUGCCUGACUUUCUUUUUUUUUUAAUUUUUUUAACGUUUAUUUAUUUUGUUUUAAUUUUUUUUAAGUUUAUUCAUUUUUUUUCAAUAUAUGAAAUUUAUUGUCAAAUUGGUUUCCAUACAACACCCAGUGCUCAUCCCAAAAGGUGCCCUCCUCAAUACCCAUCACCCACCCCCAUCAACCCUCAGUUUGUUCUCAGUUUUUAAGAACAUUUAUUUAUUUUUGAGAGAGAGAGAGAGAGAGAAAGAGAGUACAAAUGGGGAGGGGCAGAGAGAGAGGGAGGCACAGAAUCCAAAGCAGGCUCCAGGCUCUGAGUUGUCAGCACAGAGCCCGAUGCGGGGCUCGAACUCACCAACUGCAACAACAUGACCCGAGCGGAGUGGGACACUUAACCAACCGAGCCACCCAGGUGCCCCAUCAAUGCCUGACUUUCUUGAGAGAUAAAUGAUUUGACCAGAUAGUUCCAAAGCAAGCCAUUUUCCUCUGAUUUUUCUAAUAGGACAGGGUGACCCAAGGUAUGUAAACCAUUAGUCCCAAGUGCCCACGCAGGCAGAUCCUGCCAAAGCAUCUUUUACAUCCUCUCACGGGGCGUGCGGCUCAGGCCUCGGUUACUUUGGUGUGCAGCCGGGGCUUUUACUUCCGCAGAUGCCACUUCCGUGUAAUUGGCCAUCCUGGAGGAAUGUUCCAGUAUCAGUCAAGGCUUGUUUCAGUCAUGGGUGGGUGCAACAACAUCCUCGGAAAAGGUGCCCUUUGGUGUGGAGCGAGGAGGAUAAGCACUGGAGAACCCAACUCUGGGUUCUGAAGGAACAGCCAGGACCUUUGCCAGUGCGAUUUCUCUGGAAAGACAUACAGACACAUACACGUAUACAUAAAUACCUGAGGAUAACGUUAAGUGGUACUUUGUCACAAAAACCACACUGUCAGCGGGACCCCUCACAUAACCACUCAUCUGAGUUGAUACAGCCGUUUUUAAAUUUACUUUUCACUUACUUAACCUUACCGAAAAAAGCACCUCAUUUUACUCACUGCUUAUUGAAUAAAGGAUUAGUAUUAUUUUCCUUCCUCCAGUGAACUUUCUUGCACUUCAUCCUCAGUAGAUUGUAUGUCUUUGUGUUUCUCUGCCAAGAUGUCACUGUUGAGCAAAUCACAGGUCCUAAUGCUGCCCCGUUCAUGCAGAGAUAACUUUUUAUUCAGAAUUGCUUAAGGUCAUCUCAAUGGGAGGAAUGGGUAGGAAUGAGAAUUUACCCCCAACUUGAAUUAAAAUAGCUUCCAAGCACUUCCUAGAGCAGGGACAAAGAUGAAAGGGGCCCCAAAUUAUGGGCGUAUUUGAAAUAAUAAGGCAAGGGUGUCCUUUGAAAUACACUCAGCCACAUUUGUUUGCCUUUAAGUCAGAUCACCUUAACCAAGGACGUUGGUGGCAGGAACAAAUGGUUAAUGAUUGUGGAAGGAACCUGGCCAAUUGGCUUUUCUUCCUUUCUCUUUCUUUUACUUAUCUUUUUAUAUUAUUAUUUUUUUUUUAACUUUGGCUAGAAUGCCCAGUAGGAGUGCAGACUGGAAGAUCGGCUGUCUUUUGAACUGGAGACAUCACAGGAAACUGGGGAGGCUCCAAAUUGCUAACCUGAGGCCGGAGCAAAAACUUUUUUUCGUGGAAGGGACUGCUUUUUUUUUCCCUCCCCUUCAUCGAAUGGCAUCCCAAGUCCUGCCGGAUUGCAACUGUCUUUGUUCCUGCAGCCAAGCCUUAUAGCUGGCUCACACUCUGCCACGCUCGUAACCUCACACUAGAAAGGAGAUUACAAAGCGGGGCAAACACCCUAGAGGGCUCCCCUUUAUCAGAACCUUCCCUGUCAGUUGGGCUCCUCAUUUCCCGAGCCCUCGUCUGAUUAUUAGUGUACUGACGGAAUAAAAAUAACCUCAUAUUCCUACAUGAAUCAUAAAUAAAACCCUUUUAUUUCAUCAAAGAGGUUGGCAGGUUUAUAGUCCUUUGCAAUGCAGGCACGAUGUGAAUGACAUACCUUUAAUUUUGCUGACAAGCUCAUCGGGGUUCGAAUGAAAAAAGAGUGGAAAGUGGGUGACUCGGAAGACGGUUGUGCGGGAGAUUUUUGGUGAGGAUAAAUAUUUCACCUUGCCACUGUAAUCAGGGAACCAGCUGAUCUUGGUAAUGAACUCUUCAAUUACAGCCCACUCUGACUCUUCAAAACUUCCUGAGCAACAAUACCACAGUGAUUAUUGCUGACGUUAUGGAUGGAAGCAACUUGCAAAGAAAAAAAGAAGCGGAAGUGGGGGGGGGGAGCUGGUUAGAAAAGGAAGCAGAGGUGUGGUGGGAAAGAAAGCCAUUGAAAGUUAACAGCGGUGGGUCAGUGGGUCAUCACCUAAGGAAAUGAUGAGGAGCUGGGCAAUGGAAAAAGAGUAUUUAUCCUGCCUUCACUCUUGCCUGUUUCCCCUCCCUAUCUAAACCAUCUUGAUGAUUCUGUGAAUGCUCCACAUUUUCAUUAAUCUAGACAUGAGCUCUCCAAGUCAGAGAACCCAGCCAUGAAAGAAUCCAUAGUCUGUAUACCUAGUUCACCUGCCUUUGGUUUCUGUUAUGCAUGACAUAUGAUAUUGCGAAGUCCUUUCUUCUCAAGGACGAGAAGCAUGUACAGCAAGGCUCUCGGUGGUGCUGCCUUUCAUACAAGUGAUUUUCCUGCUUCCUAUUUAGGGAUGGGAAGACUCAAAGAAGAGAAGGAAUCACUAGAUACUGUGUUCCUAAAUUACUGGCCUUCUUCUUUUCUAGAGUCCCAACUACGUUUUGGAGAUCAGGGUUUUAAGAAGGAAGAAAGGAAGAGGAAAACAUGGAAGAUCUUUAAGAGUUUAUUGCUGGAAAAGGGAAGAUGCCUCACUCUAUGACAAGAAUCUUCUGGAGAGUCACUCCAAAAGACAGGCUGAGAACUUAGCCCUUCAGAAUAAGCUCUUACACAGGCCAGCUUUGGGACUCCCAACUUAGCUUGAGCUUUUUCUUACCAAAUCUAGAUUUUCCUCUGCUAUUCGAGAAAUUUUACCACGAAAAAUAGUUGCUACCAGUGAUCUGCAGGCUUCUUUCUGCAAAAAAAUAAGCCAAACUUUGCAGGGUACGUACAGGCCUUUCUUUCAGGCAGCUGAGUAAGACAGGCGAGCUGAAAUGAACCAUGAGAGAACAUAUACUUUCCUCCCCUCAACUGCACUAUGACCUUCUUGAGAACAAGAGCUGUGUUUUUUUCUAAUUGCAUACUUUCCACUGAGCCUCAGGUGUGCAAGUCUCCAGUUUUAUAGGUAACAUAAGAAGCAGGACAAGGGUGGGGCGCCUGGGUGGCGCAGUCGGUUAAGCGUCCGACUUCAGCCAGGUCACGAUCUCGCGGUCCGUGGGUUCGAGCCCCGCGUCGGGCUCUGGGCUGAUGGCUCAGAGCCUGGAGCCUGUUUCCGAUUCUGUGUCUCCCUCUCUCUCUGCCCCUUCCCCGUUCACGCUCUGUCUCUCUCUGUCCCAAAAAUAAAUAAACGUUGAAAAAAAAAUUAAAAAAAAAAAAAAAAAAAAAGAAGCAGGACAAGGGUUACUCAAAGAGCCACAGGAGAGCAAGGGGCUCUUGCCCUUCUACAGAGUUCUAAGACUCAACUUCAUGUAUCCAGUCAGUCCAUAAGUCUUGAGAUCAUCCUCCUGAGUGAGGUGGUUUUUACUUCAUGGAUCCCUUUGUCUUUGGGUAUUUUUCCCCAAAGUUUGUUUACUGUGGUAAAACACAAUCUGCCAUCUUAACAAUUUUUAAGUGUACAGUUCAGUGGUAUUAAAUACAUUCAUAAUGUUGUGCAUCCAUCACCACCAUCCAUCUCCCUAACAUUUUUCAUCUCGUAAAACUGGAAUUCUCUAUACCUUAAACAGUAACUCUCCAUUUCCCCCUACUCCCAGGACCUGGCAACCACCAUUCUGUUUUCUGUCUCUAUGAUUUUGACUACUUUAAGUGGCUCAUGUAGGAAUGGAAGCAUCCAUUUGUCUUUUUGUGACCUGCUUAUUUCAUUUAGCACAUCCUUAAAGUUCAUUCAUGUUAUAGCAUAAGUCAUAAUUUCUUUCCUUUUUGAGGUUGAAUAAUAUUCCAUCGUGUGUGUGUGUGUGUGUGUGUGUGUGUGUGUGUGUGUGUAUUGCUGCUUCCCCAUUUAUUCGUUGAUGGACACUGGGUUGCUUGCACAGGUUAGCUAUUGUAAAUAAUACUGUUAUGAACACGGGUAUACAAAUAUCUCUUUGAGACCCUGCUUUCAGUUCUUCAGAACAUAUACCCAUGAGGGGAAUUACUGGAUCAUGUGGUAAUUCUAUUUUUAAUUUUUUGAGGAAUGCCAUACUUUUCCCCAUAGCAUCUGUAUCAUUUUACAUUCCCACCUCUAGGGCAGAAGUGUUCCGAUUUCUCCACAUCCUUGCCAACACUUGUUAUUUGCUGUAGUUUUGAUAGGAGUCAUCCUAACGUGAGUGAAAUAGUAUCUCGUUGUGGUUUUGAUUUCCAUUGCCCUAAUGAGUAGUGAUAUUGAGCAACUUUUCAUGUGCUUAUUGGCCAUUUGUGUAUCGACUUUGGAGAAACAUCUAUUUGAGUCCUUUGCUCAUGUUUGAAUUGUGUUGUUUGUCUUCUUGUUGAGUUUUAGGGAUUCUCUAUAUAGUUUGUAUAUUAAUCUUUAUCAAGUAUAUGGUUUGCAAAUAUUUUCUCCCACUCUGCAGGUUUCCUUUUCAAUCUGUUGCUAGUGUGUUUUGAUGCAAAAAUGUUUAAAUUUUCAUGCAAUCUAAUUUGUCUAGUUUUCUUUUGUUGCCUGUGCCUUUGGUGCCAUAUCCAAGACAUCAUUCCCAAAUCCAAUGUCAUGAAACUUUUGUCCUCUUUUCUUUUCUUUUAAAGUUUAUUUAUUUAUUCUGAGAGAGAAAGAGAGAAAGAGAGAGAAAAUCCCACAGAGCCUGACGUGGGGCUCAAUCUUAUUAACUGUGAGAUCAUGACCAGAGCUGAUAUCAAGAGUCAGAUGCUUAACUGACUGAGCCACCCAGGCUCCCCUGUCCAUUAUUUUCUUCUAAGAGUUUUAUAGUUUGUGGUCUUACAUUUUGUUCUUUGAUACAUUUUGAGUUAAUUUUUGUGUAUGGUAUUAGGUAAGGGUCCAACUUCAGUCUUUUGCAUAUAGAUAUCCAGUUUUCCCACCACCAUUUGCUGCAAAGACUAUUCAUUCCCCAUUGAAUGGUGCUGGCAUCUUUGGAUCCCUUGAUUUGAAAAAAAAAAAAAAAUUACAUAUACUUGUAAUUCUGAAAAUAAUAUUAGUAGGAAGGUAAUAUUUUCCCAGUUUUACAGAGGAGGACACUGUGACUCAAGAGUUUAAAUAUCAUGGCAAACAUGAUACAAAGGGGUAUCUCUUAAUUAGUACCCCACUUCUCAAGAAAAUAGUAUUUAUACUGAGGACAAAUGAUGGUUGGGAGGCCUAUUCAACACAUCUGAGUUUUAACAAUGAAAUAGGCAGUAAAGAUGUUAAUUGUGCUUCUAGGCAAAGGGCUACAUGGUAUCCCAUAGGCGGACAAGACACCUGUAAGUAAUGAUGACAAUGUACUGCUCUUAUUUCUUUAGGUGAACUCAACACCGAUGCUUACACUGUGCUGAAAAAAAUUUGGCCUGUGAUAGAUUUCCAGGAUCUGUCACAGUUGCCACGGGCUCCUGCACACAACCCUCAGGCUAUGUGAGAAAGCAUCACAUGGGCUCAGGGAGGGGAUGCCCACCCUCAGACCACCUGGGAAGCAGGGUAAUCUCACAAACUACACUAAGAGUGGAGAGAGAAGUAAAUUUCAAGGCUUUCUUUCCAGCAUCAGACAUUUAAUCGGGGCCUGCUAUUCCUAGCAUGUUUAGGGCCAUGAAAGGAAUAAAACAUUAAUUUUAAGAUAUUAUCUUAGUUCGGGGUGCCUGGGUGACUCAGUCGGUUAACAUCGACUUCGGCUCAGGGCAUGAUCUCAUGGUUUGUGGGUUCGAGCCCUGCAUCGGGCUCUGUGCUGUCAGCUCAGAGCCUGGAGCCUGCUUCAGAUUCUGUCUGUCUCUCUCUCUCUCUCUGCCCUUCCCCUGCUCGCACUCUGUCUCUCUCUCUCUCUCUCUCAAAAGUAAAUAAAACAUUAAAAAAAUUUUAAGAUAUUAUCUAAGCUCACAUGCAAAAGCAUGUAUAUGUUGUUACCAAACAAAUGCCAUGCAGAGUUAAGUGCACAAUGAAGGACGACUGGAGAUGGAGCCUAAAAUAGGGACUCAGGGGACCAACAUAAAGCAGGUCUUGCUUUGACAACCGUAUCUAGUGGGCAAAUACCUGAGCACUUUACUAUUCACCAGGCACUGUACUAGAGGCUUCAUGUCUGAAAUUACCGCUAUUCCUUAUUAUAUGUGCUGCCAAAGUGAGCACUACCACGACUCCUUAUAAGAACACUGUGAAAAAGGUGCAUUGGUCAGAAUCCAAGCAGGAAAAAGAAACCUUCUACAUAUUUAUCACAGAGUGGAUUUAAGAUGGACAGUUGGUAACAACGAGAAUAUAAGAUAGUAAAUUGAUAACACAGGGAAUGCAAGAGCUGAGAUGCCAAAAAAGAUGGUGAGACACCUUCCUAUUGGUGGGGAAAGGAAGAAGAUAGAAUUACAAGAGCCCAGAGGGAACCAGAACCACAGAGGAGACACAGUUACUUCUGGAAAUGCCCGCCAAGGCAGUGAGACUGUGGGAAAAAAUACCCUGGUAUCUCUCUUUCUCCUGCUCUCCAUUCUCCCAUGAGUGCCUCCCUCCCAUUGGCCAGGAAACAGAUAAAUGCACUUGCAGGGUCAGCCUCUUGCAACAUAGAGCAGAGCAGAGCAAAACAGAGCAGAGGACAAUCAGACCAAGAUCAGACGCAGAAGGUGUUAUGAUGCCCAUUUUAUAAAUGUAGAUACAGACGGUCAGUGGGCUGUGGUUUACCCAAUUAGUAACUGCAAGAUAGACAUUAGUAUUCAGUCUAGACUUCAGUGUUCACCAGGAACUGUACUAGAUGCUUCAUGUCUAUAAUUGCCACUUUGUAGGGCACCACUGGGAGAGGUCCCUGCAGUCCACACCUUUCUGUGACUAUUUAUUUCUUCCCUGUGCACUAGACUGAGCAACAAAGGGAAAGGUCCUCAGUGACCUGGGAUGCUCCUGGUUUGCAGAGUCAGACCAAAACCCUGGCCUGUUCAGACCUGUCCAGCAAUAAGAUAUUGAUCUUCUGAACACUGCAGACCAUGCUUUAGGGCAGUUGGUUCAACAGCAGCCUAAGGGUGUUUUUCCCAAGGGCUUCGGGAUUAAGACUUCUGCAACUCACUUGUCUCUCUUGAGUGUUUCUCAUGGGCUCUCAGCUUUGACUUCAGAGUCUGACGUGGUCCACUGGCUGUACACAGGCCUGUGUUUUCACUACAAAGUCUGUCGAGCACAGAGUAUGGCACCCAUUAGAUUUCAUCAAUUAAUGAAUGCUGGUCCAAACUGAUUAACUCCGUGUCCCCUGACAUUGAUAUUAACUGUCCUCUGUGGUUAACACUUGAAUCUGUGCUCUGUGCCCUGUGCUCGGGCUUCAGGGGCUUCUGGCCCUCUGUGUUAAACAUGUCAGCGUCCAAGUUCUAUUCCUGGCUCUUGAUAUGAUAAAUAGUUUCCAAAUCACGAUACCCACACAAAUGCAUCUGCCAGGCUAGAUCCUUGAAGCUUGUCUAAAAUCAGCCACUUCUCUCCUUACACUGCCCCUUGAAUUCAGUGUGCACCAAGUAGUAACUGCUUGUUGAUGGGUUGCUGACGAGCACGGUCUCCCCAUUGCUCUUCUUUACAAGCUUGCAUGCUCUCCCUGAAAAUACUGCUUUUAUGCAUAUAAUGAAUUUACUAAGAAAUGUGUCUUUAUUGGAGAGAGACAGAAAGAAAAAGAAAUGGAAAGGAAGAGGAAAAAAAGCUGAUGAAACCAUAGAGAAAGACAAAAUCAACUCUAUUGAAUUCUAGAUUGCCAUCUUGUCAGGAUUUUUGCAAGAUUCUUCUGCCACUCUUUUAAUUUUCAUUACUUUCUAUUUUCCUAGAAUAAGCAUAGAAACAGGUUCUAAUUUUACCAGAGGCUUUUCAUCAAAUCAGACUUUUUAUUCUCCGUAGGUUAUCCUAGUCACAAAACAUCUCUCUUUUCAAAGCUUGCAUAAUAUUAGCUAACUCUAGUGGAAUAUAGUUCUUGAACCCACACAGUGAAGAUGCAAACAUUAUUCUUCAACCUGACUCUAGUUAUUUUUCAUCACAGAGAGUGACAUUCUUAGUCACCAGAAUCUUCACAGAGCCUCUUGAGUUUUAUGAAAAAUUUCCUUAAUCACUGGCUCUACAGACGUGAACUUUUUGAUCAUAAAGCAAGUCACAUCUCUCUUUCAGUGUUUUGAGAAACUUCAGAUUCUUGACACUCCUGUUUCUAAUCUGGUCUAAUGAAGACUUCUCUACAGCCAAAGGAGACUCAUUUCAAGUAGGAUUUGCCACUCCUGUCUGGCACAGUGACCACAUUAGCAGGUUAUCACUUUCACUGGGGCCACGUGGUGACCCCACUUUACUGGAGCAAAAUAGUGGAAGGUUUUCGUGGUGGACUAACUCUCAAAGAGCCGUUCACUGUCAACUCACAGUGUUGGCGUCACUAUCCUCUUCGCCAAAGAAUCAACUGGGAGACAUGGGCCAGCACCCUAACCCCAAAUCAAAUGGUGAGGAGCAAAGGGCUGGCAGACACAAUAUGAGGCCUCUCUUUUCUCACUGAUGAAAGAGGUUUCUACGAUCUUCUUUCCCCCACCCAUGGACAAAUCGGCUUUCUUGCACUUCUCUUAGGAAAGGAAAUUGGUGUGCAGUUCUGAAAUGAAAACAGGUGUGUACUUUGCCGACUCCACAUGUAGCUGAACAUUUAGAGCCUGUCGUUGGCCUGAACGCUGUUGUCGCCGUCCCUUUUAAAACGAAGGUUACAGAGCACCCUUAGAAUGAAAAACUUAAUGAGUACAUACCAUUAAGGAUUUGCAGUAUGUUCACUGCUGGUGGGUUCUAAAGACGUCCUAUACACGGUCCUUUCUAAUAAAGAGUUCAUAUUAUAAUAUCACAGUGGAAACUUCAUGGACCUGCCUUCUGACAGACCUGAACUCUAGUCCAGCUCAGAUGCUAACUAGCUGUGUGGCUCGAUAGGUCUGUCAGGGACUUUUCUUCUUGGUUUUCUCAUCCGAAAAUGGGAUACUGACUCCUGAGAUUUUUGCAAGAUUUUACUAAGAUAGUAUAAGUUAAAAAAAAAUAAAAUAAAAAAUUUAAAAAAAUAAAAAGAGGGGCACCUGGGUGACUCAGUCAGUUAAGCGUGUGACUUCAGCUCAGGUCAUGACCUCACAGGUCACUAGUUCGAGCCCCAUGUCGGGCUCUGUGCUGACAGCUCAGGGCCUGGAGCCUGCUUGGGAUUCUGUGUCUCCCUCUCUCUCUGCUCCUCCCGCACUCAUGCUCUAGAAGAUGGUAUAAGUAAGACAUCUCUCACAGUGACUGGAGUGUAUUAAGUCAUCGAUAAAUAUUUGGGAAGAUUUGACACAUAGGUGUAACAGAGUGUUUUCUGACCAGGUCUGCUAAGGUGAGGGCCAAAUUAAGGGUACACCUUUUAAAGUCUUUGAGGGUUCUGAGUGGAAGGAAGAUGUGAUUAACUAGAACAAUCAAGAAAGACUUCAAGAGGCUGAGGUGGAGCCUUGUCAAAAGGAGGGAUCUGGAAGAAUAGAUGUAAAGCAACCCAGGAAAGAACAGCAGCAUGAUCAAAUAUGAAAAAAAACUCUUGAUUUUGGCUCAGGUCAUAAUCUCAUGGUUCCUGAGUUCAAGCCCCAUGUCAGGCUCUGUGCUGACAGUGCAGAACCUGGAACCUGCUUGGGAUUCUCUCUCUCCCUCUCUCUCUGCCCCUCCCCCACUUGCUCACGCUCUCCCUCUCUCUCUCUCUCUCAAAAUCAAUAAAUGAACAUUAAAAAAAAAGAACAGGCAAAUCUUAUUUUUAAAAAAAGAAAGAAAGAAGAGGGCCAGAGAACGUGAGCCUGGAGAGCUGUUAGUGGUCAGGCUAAGUGUUUUCUCUUUCAAGUAGAAGAGAGACUUUAAGGGUUUGGCACAAGGUGGAUGAUUAAUUGAUGACAGGAGAAAUGUAGGAAGACAAAUCAGGAGAGCUUAGAGCCGAACAGGUAGUGGGAUACCAUUGGAAGGGUCAGGAUGUUACAUGAAUGGAGACAGGAGACAGAAAAGAAGAUAAGUGUGUUUCUGGGUAUGUGACUCACUGAAAGAAUGUGUAUACAUUAGGUCAUGAACGGAUAGGAGUGGGAAGGGAAAAGAAAGGCCUCACAGUUGAUCCUGGGCCUUUGCUUUUGCAUAACAGGGAAAUGGUAGUCACCUUACCACAAAUAGGGGAAGAACUGACUUUGGAAAGGAAAGGCUAAACAGAAAAACAGAUGGUUCAUUGCCCACAAUUCACUUCCAGGUGUCCCUUGAGGGUCUGGAAUGAAGUGAGAACAUAGUUUCAGUGAAUUCCAACUGGGUUAUAUAACAUAUUUUGAAUAUGAAACAAAAUGUAGCAUCUUUUCUACUCAUGGCAAGGAGGGCUUUUUGCCAAGCAAUGCUGGAACAGCACAUCUAUUUUGUUGGGCUGAGUCACUGUGCCUUCAGAAACGGUUCUAAUCUCAGCUCUGUAUGAUGGCUGUAGGGAAGUUUACUUCCAGUUUUUUUCUAAAUCUCAGGUUUUUUUUUUUUUUCUCCAAAAGGAAUAUAAUGACAUCAACUUGUCCUCCAGUGCCACUGUAACACAUUUUGAGAGAAGUUUGCGUAUUUGCUGAGAACAUGUUCAGGGAUCCUCUUUCAGCUGCCCCUGUUUGAUUGCUCCCAGAAUGCAC